AUUGAACGCUGGCGGCAGGCUUAACACAUGCAAGUCGAACGAGUGGCGGACGGGUGAGUAAUGCUUGGGAAUCUAGCUUAUGGAGGGGGAUAACUACGGGAAACUGUAGCUAAUACCGCGUACCAUAGGAUUGGCCCAAAUGGGAUUAGGUAGUUGGUGAGGUAAAGGCUCACCAAGCCGACGAUCCCUAGCUGGUCUGAGAGGAUGACCAGCCAAACUGGGACUGAUACAAGGCCCAGACUCCUACGGGAGGUAGCAGUGGGGAAUAUUGCGCAAUGGGGGCAACCCGACGCAGCCAUGCCGCGUGAAUGAAGAAGGCCUUCGGGUUGUAAAGUACUUUCGGCAGCGAGGCGUUAACGACAGAAUAAGCACCGGCUAACUGCGUGCCAGCAGCCGCGGUAAUAC
rnacentral:rRNA from 1 species